UUGUUAUCAAGAAAGGUAGAGGGAAUAGACCCGGUGAAGCCUUGGCAACCCUUUAGCUCUUAAAGAAGGUGCUACGUUCUACUGAUAUUUUUUAAAUAUUGGAAAGAUAACGG
rnacentral:ncRNA from 2 species